rnacentral:lncRNA from 1 species
GACGCAACCAAGCUCAAGGAGGAGCUCGAUGAAGAUCUUGCCCUUUGUGUUGUUUCGUUCUAGUUGGUCAGUAGUGGAGCCCAGUUGGGGUCGAUCAGGGACCUUUGUCGCAUUUGGGGUUCUUCUUUUAUUUUGGUUCCGUAGUCGGACCUUGAUUGUAUCUGGAUGAUGUAAUGCUUUAUUCAUGUAAUUGUGUGAAGUGGCGAUUGUAAGCCAACUAUGUAUCUCUUUCCCAUAUGUAUUACAUGGGUUGUGUGAAGAUUACCUCACUUGCGACAUUGCUUUCAAUGCGGUUAUGCCUCUAAGUCGUGCUUCGACACGUGGGAGAUAUAGCCGCAUCGAGGGCAUUACAAGUUGGUAAUCAGAGCCUUCCCCGACCUUAGGAGCCCCAUUGCUUGAUCGUUUUUAGCGGCCGAGUUGUGUCUAGAAAAAUAUUUUGAGCCAUUUAGGAUCAUAUAUAUCGGAGAGUUAGGAAUUCUUUUUACUCCCCAGUCUCUUCAUCGCUCUGGUAAGGCAUCCUGACGUAGAGUUUUGACUCUUCUCUUCUCAAAUUUCACUAAAUUUUUUUUAGGAUCACGCGGGUAUCUUGGAAUCGUUCCGAUGGUUUUAUGAUGAGAACAUUGUCUUGGUGCCUCCUGUCAGGGGUUUAGUGGAAGUGUCCCGGGGAGUUGAGCUCUGAGGUGUUGUCGUCAUAAUUUUAUCGUUGCAGUUCUGGAAUACCUGAGUUUAGUACGCCGACAUCGAAAAUCUCUUUUAUGCAGUUGUUGGUGAGAUAACCCCGAUAACCCAGUACUGAGGUGAGUACGGGAGUAUUGCCAUAACUUGUAUAACGGAUGCUUUUCGAAGGUUGAGGUAGACGAUUUCCGAAGGUUUCUUGGUUAUGUGUUGAAGGAUGGAUACAGCUGGAUGUAGGAUUUGUUAGUUUUGGGUGAGAUAUUAUGCUUCCCCUGUAUCCCCAACACCUGAUUGCAUAACCGGAAAGGUUCGGGAGUUUCAUAGGUGGGAAAUCAAGUAGCUCUUAGGAUAUCUUUCCGACAGAUGUAUGAUAUGAAAUUGGGGUUCGACGUCUAGUGGUCCGCCUAUUCACGGUUGGUUUUACAGUGGUCUUGUUGUGUCUUAAAGAGUCCUUGGCUAUGCCGACUCGGGGACGCUUCGUAUGUCAUGUGCACUGCCUUGUACAUGAUGGUGCUGUACGAUCGAGCCCGUGUAGGCCCCACCACGAAAACUUCGGACGAAAUUUCUAUCAUAUGUUUGUUCUAGCUUAUUCUGCAAGCCAAAUCCUUUGUUUUGUUUUAUUUGUGGUAUUCGAGUUGCUUCGAAGUCAAGUGUUGAUUCCAUACCUUUCUUAAAUGGUGUUCUCAUAUUUCUAUGGGAGUGCUAAUCCUUUCGAUCAUCGAGAUUGUCAUGUCAAUUCUUUCCAACCGGUGUGCUUCUUUUCAAGUGGAUCCGAUCAUUUCAACAUUCGCAAGAUCACCUCUCAGUUUUCUCAACGGUGUUUGUUUCAUCCGUCCCAAGUUGUUUUUGUUUUCCCGCCCUCCCACCCCUUUUUCUUCAAGGACUAAGAUUUCUUCUUCAAGUAUCCAUUUUAUUGAUGGGAAGUUUCUCCAUUCUUUUUCCGUCAAUGUUCUUACCCGGUGGUUCUCAAGAAGAUGUUCUACUAGUUCGUCAUUCCUCAUUCCUUUCUCUUCUCCGGUGGAUUCAAGUCAAGUUUUGUUGAUCAUACCUUUUUCCUCAUUUCAAUGUCUUCUCAUACCGGUGCACCUCAUUAUCAUUCUACUUCUCGCUAUUUGUUAUUCCGGAGUGCUCAAGAUAUCUCGAAGAUUCGUGUUUCCACUCUGCAUUCGUUCAAGCUCUUUCGAGAUUGGUAUCUCAUUCAAGUCAUUUAAUUCUACCGGUGCAAUAUCUAUUUCAAUCAAUCGUUCAACGCUGUAUCCUUUUAGUAGGCCCUAACCCACAGGUCUUUUUCCAGGAUCUUACCUGACUCUCCCAACUUUCCCGAAGUUAUUCUCAAAUUCAUUGCAAAGGUUGACGUAAGAAUGAAUUAUCAUCAGUCAAAUGUAUUUCUCCAAGAUCUUUCCAAUUCUUUCAUUUUUGGUUCAACCUUUCAAAUUGUCAUUCCGGAGUGCCUCAAUAAUUCUUGGUGGUGUUUCUCGUUGUCAUUCUCAUCAUUUGAAUACCGAAGAAGAGUUUCUCUUUAAUCUUGCUCUAUUCUCUUAAAGAUUCAUGGUGCUAGCUUGUUGCCAUCCUCUCAUAAUUGUUUUCGAUUGUGAGAAUCUUUUUCACCCAUCAGGAGAUAUUCAAGAGUCUUCUCAGUUUGUCAUCCAGAGUCCAUCAAUUCAGGUUUAUUCAUUCUCAGCCGUCAGUUAUCAUUCUCCUAUCUUGCCGGUGCAUCUAUCGAAUAUCCUCUAAUCAGUUCUUGAUCUCUUUGUUCUCAUGUAUCUAGUUUGUCUCAAGCACCUUCAUUCAUUUGCUAAUUCUUACCGGUGAUGCACCCCUACUUCGAUCAUUUUCAAUUCUUACGGUGGUUCUUUCAAGAUCUCUCUUCCUUGUUCAUCAUAUCAAUUCAUCUGUUGUUCCAAUCCUACCGGUGGUUCGUUGAAGACCUUCUCAAGUUUACGCUAUAUCUCUUUUAAUCCUUUCUACGAGAAUAAGUAGUAUGCCAAAUCCGUUGAUUGUCGUCAAUUUAAUUGGUGAAGGAUAAGAAUAACAUAAUUCUUAUUCUUGUUCAUCCAAGUGAUUAAUUCUUUAUUCCGGAGGCCCUUAAAAUUCUUGGUUUCAUUUGUUUCAUCUUCUCUUUUUCCCGGAGUUCCAAGCUCUAAUUAUCACGGAGAUCCAUCUAAAUCAUUGCAAGGAUUCACCUUGUGUUUUCAAUUUCUCUUUCUUUUCAUUCCUUUUGUUUACCGGAGUUCUUCAUGGAGGUUCUACAUGAUGGUUCAUCAAGGAUUUAAUUCCUUCUCAAAGUUUUCAUCAAGAUUCAUUUCUAGGGAGCUCAAGCUUUCUUCAUAUGGUAAUCCUGAGUGCAAUUCUUUCUACCAUAUUUUGGAGGUGGUAUUAUGUCAUUCUUGAUAAUUUGAGUUCAUGUUCCAUGAUUCACAUGUUGUUAAGAAUGAGUUAUUUUUAAAUCCAUCAACCUCGUUGUUGGAGUUAUCUUGUGUCAUAUUUCACCUAAAAGCCUUCCAUUGGAAUGUUGCUAUUUGUGGUGCUUGCCAAUGAUCCAAGUUAUCUCUUUAUCAUCUUGGUGGAAGAAGUGUUCAUCUCUUCGUCGAUCUAAAGCUAGCAAUCGUUUCCGUUAGUGGCCGGUUGUCACCUCAUAAUUUUGAGAUGUUUUCCAUAAGCCCACUACAAGCUUAUUCGUUUCGUUGUUGGUUUUUCCCAACAACCCCGUUGUAACCUUCUUGGAAGAGUGCUUUCCAAGCUCAAUUGUGGCAGAAGUUGCCAUUUCCCCCUCCAUUCUGUUAUUCCAAUGACCUAUCUUCUAUUCUUUCUUCCGGAGGCAUUGUGACGUUGCUCUUUUCACUCACCAUCUCGAUUCGUGAGGAUCGUGUUUUUUUUCUUGCUUAUCCAUUUAACCGAAGUGUCGUGUUUUCAUUCGAGUUCUCUAAUCUUAUCAAGUUUUCCCUCCUUCCUCAACUGGAGAGCUGUCUGAAAUCCUUCUUACCCAUUGUGCCAUUCUUUCAAUAGUUCCGGAGGCAGUGUGUUGUUGAUUUCAUCAAGUAACAUCCCAUCUUCUCAAGUUCAUGUUCUAUUCUUUCCAUGUUCAACCGGAGUACUGCCCGAAUUCUUCCCCUCUCAUCUUGUUUUAACCGGAGUGGUUUCGAAUUCUAUCUUGUCCAUUAAACUCUUGAUUCAUGUCUUUGCAACCUUCAAGUUCUCGUAAUGUUCCUUGUUCCUCUUUCUAACGGAUUGUUUGCAAUCUCGUUCAUCUCCUUUGUAUUCUUUCUUUCAAUUUGUUCAACCUCUCAAGGUUCUUUGGUUUCACUCAUUGGUCAAAGAAGCAACUUAGUUUUACCUCUUCUCUUCCUCUUCCGUUUCUCUCCGGUGCCAUCCUAGAUCUCGGGACGAGAUCCUCUUGUAGUGGUGGAGUGUUGUAACGCCCCGAGACCGACGAUCCAGAAGACUUCCAGCUAUUCCGAGUUCCUCCGUGUGUUUUUUAUUUGUGCUUGCUCUAUUUAUUUUUGCAUUGCAUCAUGUCAUCAUGCAGUCAUCUCUUAAAUCUUUUGCAACUCUUCCAAAUAAAUUGUAUGGAUUUUUCGAUCCAUUUAAACCAAGGGAACUCACAUGGUGACUUCUCUUUAUAACUUAUCCUCCAAUAUUAGGGAGCUAUAUUAAAUAUUUCUUUAUUUCGGAAAUCACCAAAACACACUUGCAAAAUAAUUCCCCAUGCCUUUGACCUCAAACGUUGUCCAAUAAUUUAUUUCAUCAUUUUUCGGAGCUCCACCAAAAAUCCGAACAUUUUUGGACACUUCUAAAUCCUAGUCCUUGUUCAAACCAUUUGAAUUAAAUUCAAAUGACUUUGAAUUUAAUUCUUGCAAUCUUGCCCACUCCAUUUUUCUUGGGACAAGCGCAUUUUUGCGAGUCCGGGAAAAUUAUCCCCGUGCCCAACUCUUUCUCUAACCUUUCUUUUCUUCCCUUUUUCUUUCUCUUUAUUUUCUAUUUUGAUAAGAGAAUUAGAGAUAGAGAGAGAGAAGGAGCCCUGCAGCCCAGCAGCCAGGCCAAGCCUGCUCCCUCCGCAGCCCAAGGCCCAGCCGGCCCCUGCCUUCUAACCCUAGCCGCACCCUUCUCCCGAUCCCAUCUCCCUCCCGCAGCGCCUCCAUCUCCCACCUCUGCGCCCCAUCGCUCCUCGUCCCGAUCCCCAUCUCCUCCCUCGCGCCACCUUCUCCCUCGCUCGACCCCAUCGCUAGCAGCCGCCGCUUCAUUCGUGGCAUCGGCCGGACCUCCAGCGCCGCCGCCUCAAGCUCCAGAUCCGGUCGGCCCCUGCCCAUGCUCCGCCGCCCCGUUCAAGUACCUCCAUCGGAGCACGCCCGCUGAGCUCCGUCACGCGCCCUCAUCGGCCCUCGUCCCCGCCUCCUCGUCUACCUGACGCCGCCGCCGGCCUCUGCUUCUCAGCAGCCCCGCGUCCCCCUCUGCUCCACCACGCACGCAGCGCCCGAGCCCGGCCGCGUCGCAGCUUCUGCUGCCGGUGACCUCGCCACCGGCCUGCUACCUCGUCCACAACCCCAAGCUCUCCUCUGCGUCGUCAUCAGCCGUAGUUGCAGAGGAGUUCGUCUGCCGCCAUGGAGUUUCGCCACCAGCCAGGAUCCGGCGUCCCGAGGCCGAUCUGUCCACCCCAGCCGUCCCUGCGCCUCCCCGUCGUGCUGCAUCAUCAGAGCUUGCGGCGCCGCCGUUACCCUCCUGCCUCCACGCCGUCUUUGUUCAGGCGGAGAUCGAACACACGCUGCCCCUGCGCGUUAACCAAACCACCCAAUCGCACCCUGCUGCUUCGGUCGCUAUUGGUUUGUUUGGCCAUCAUGGAUAUGUUGCUGCGGACGCCAAGUACGACUACACCACGGUGAUACAUGAACGACUACACGGCUACGACAUCCUAGAAUCUCUAAGUACCGUGGCACCGAAGACUUUUGAUGCGUCAAGUCCCUCUCCGACAAUUGUUGGACUACCAUCCCGUGCAUUGCACCAAGUACCACGACAUCGUCGGCCCUACAAGUUCAACUAUGGUUGCCGUGUACGACUACCGUCGACCCUCGAAGACCCCGUGGACCCCGAUUCAUCUACGGGACAUGAACAACUGCUACCACUACCGUCGCCGUGAACCACUACUUCCACUACGGCAUGUGUACGACUACUUCCCACGACGACACGUGAACAACUACUUCCUCUACGACCGCUACGAGAACGUCUACUUCCUCUACAUCGUACCGAACGCGUUCCGCCCCGAAUGCACGCUUCGAAGGUAUAACCCGAGACGACCGCGAUGAGAUGCCCUUGCAUGUAUGAGAUGCACCGUUUUUGCCGUGUCCGAAUUGUCACUCAUUUCCAUGCCCCUAACCUGUGGGACACCCGAUAUUCGGGAUCACCCCACCAUCUCUAGCAUGUUCCGCACAUCCGCACGCUUCCUUUUGCACCGGUAUCUCCUUGAGCUACCGGAACCGGAAUGUUGCCGUGGCACCAUUUCCGUUUCACCGUCGUGGCACCUUUUUCCUUCUGCCAUGGCGACAAAUGCUUCAUAACAUGCUCAUGCCAACAUUUUCGUAAAAUUGCAUAAAACUUGCAUAUGUCAUCCGCAUCAUGAUAACAACAUUUAAAAUGUUUAAACUUGUUGUUGCAUUAAAUUGCUAAAUGCAUAUGGGGAUUUACCGGAUUUGUUGUUUUUAUAUCCGGCCCCAUUUAAAUUGUUUAGAUGGUAUAGUUUAUAUUAUGCUUCACCUCUUGCCAUGUUUAACAACAUUUAAUAUUGUUGGGUACAUAAACGGGAUCAAACUAAAUAACUUAUCGUGGUGUUUCGUCAAUAUGCAGUUGCAUAUUGAGCUCCAUUUAAUUUGUAGGGUUGUUUGUGCACUUUGCCAUGCCAUGCUUCAUUAAACCGGACAUGCAUCAUGCUUGUUUGUGCAUCAUGACUUGUUUAUGUGAUGUUUGUUUACCAUGGUUGUUUGCUUCUUUCCGGUUUGCUUCUCUUGUUAGCUUCGGUUUCGUCCCGGAGUUGUGAGGAUUCGUUUGACUACGUCCGUUUGUCUUCUUCAUGGACUCGUUCUUCUUCCUAGCAGGAUUUCAGGCAAGAUGACCAUACCCUCGAAAUCACUUCUAUCUUUGCUUGCUUAGUUGCUCGCUCUUUUGCUUGCCUAUGCUGCGAUACCUACCACUUGCUUGUCAUGCCUCCCAUAUUGUUGAACCAAGCCUCUAACCCACCAUGUCCUAGCAAACCGUUGAUUGGCUAUGUUACCGCUUUGCUUAGCCCCUCUUAUAGCGUUGUUAGUUGUAGGUGAAGAUUGAAGUUUGUUCCUUGUUGGAACAUGGAGAUGUUGUUCCUUGUUGGAACAUGUUUACUUGUUGGGAUAUCACAAUAUAUCUUAUUUAAUUAAUGCAUCUAUAUACUUGGUAAAGGGUGGAAGGCUCGGCCUUAUGCCUGGUGUUUUGUUCCACUCUUGCCGCCCUAGUUUCCGUCAUAUCGGUGUUAUGUUCCCGGAUUUUGCGUUCCUUACACGGUUGGGCUAUAAUGGGAACCCCUUGAUAGUUCGCCUUAAGUAAAGCUUCUCCAGCAAUGCCCAACAUUGGUUUUACCAUUUGCACUAACAACCUACCACCUUCCCUUGGGUUCUGCAGACUCAAGGGUCAUCUUUAUUCUAACCCNNNNNNNNNNNNNNNNNNNNNNNNNNNNNNNNNNNNNNNNNNNNNNNNNNNNNNNNNGGGCAGCCUGCGGGGCCACCUCGGGGAAACUUGAGGGUUGGUUUUACUCGUAGCUUGACCUAUCUGAGUGUGCCCUGAGAAAGAGAUAUGUGCAGCUCCUAUCGGGAUUUGUCGGCACAUUCGGGCGGUGUUGCUGGUUUAGUUUUACCCUGUCGAAAUGUCUUGUUGUACCGGGAUACCGAGUCUGAUCGGAACGUCUCGGGUGGAGGUCUAUUCCUUCGUUGACCGUGAGAGCUUGUCAUGGGCUAAGUUGGGACACCCCUGCAGGGAUUUGAACUUUCGAAAGCCGUGCCCGCGGUUCUGGGCAGAUGGGAAUUUGUUAACGUCCGGUUGUAGAAAACCCGAAGUUGACCUUAAUUAAAACACAUCAACCGCGUGUGUAACCGUGAUGGUCUCUUUCCGGCGGAGUACGGGAAGUGAACACAGUGUUGGAGUUAUGCUUGACGUAGGUUGCUAUAGGAUCACUUCUCGAUCAUACUUUUAUCGACCGUGCUUUGCCUUCUCUUUUCGCUCUCAUUUGCGUAUGUUAGCCACCAUAUAUGCUAGUCGCUUGCUGCAGCUCCACCUCAUUACUCCAUCCUUCCUAUAAGCUUAAAUAGUCUUGAUCUCGCGGGUCGAGAUUGCUGAGUCCCCGUGGCUCACAGAUACUUUCAAAACCAGUUUGCAGGUGCCUAUGUUACCGUGCAGAUGACGCAACCAAACUGAAGGAGAAGCUCGAUGAAGAUCUUGCCCUUUGUGUUGUUUCGUUCUAGUUGGUCAGUAGUGGAGCCCAGUUGGGGUCGAUCAGGGACCUUUGUCGCAUUUGGGGUUCUUCUUUUAUUUUGGUUCCGUAGUCGGACCUUGAUUGUAUCUGGAUGAUGUAAUGCUUUAUUCAUGUAAUUGUGUGAAGUGGCGAUUGUAAGCCAACUAUGUAUCUCUUUC